CCUACGGGUGGGCUGCAGUGGGGAAUAUUGGACAAUGGGGGGAACCCUGAUCCAGCGACGCCGCGUGAGUGAAGAAGUAUUUCGGUAUGCAAAGCUCUAUCAGCAGGGAAGAAAGAAAUGACGGUACCUGACUAAGAAGCUCCGGCUAACUACGUGCCAGCAGCAGCGGUAAUACGUAGGGGGCAAGCGUUAUCCGGAUGUACUGGGGUGAAAGGGAGCGUAGACGGCGAUGUAAGUCUGAAGUGAAAGGCGGGGGCCCAACCUCCGGACUGCUUUGGAAACUGUAUGGCUGGAGUGCAGGGGAGGUAAGUGGAAUGCGUGGUGUAGCGGUGAAAUGCGUAGAUAUUAGGAGGAACACCAGUGGCGAAGGCGGCGUGCUGGACUGUAACUGACGUUGAGGCUCGAAAGCGUGGGGAGCAAACAGGAUUAGAUACCCUUGUAGUC
rnacentral:rRNA from 1 species